CAAAAAUUCUCCUUUCCCUCUCUUCUGCCAGCUCCUCAUCCAAUUUACAGCCUAUGAAUCACCUUCAUCUUAACCUGUAACUUCCUUGUUGGAGGUAUAUAAGAUGUUUAACUCAAGUCUAGAUGAAUGAGAUCUAGUAUAAACUUUUUGUUUCAAGAACCGCUUUAAAGGAAGCUAUUAGUUCAACUGACAUGAUCUCUCUUCAGUAAAUACACUGUGUUCUAUAUAUUUCCAUGAUAUUAACUUAUCUUUUCCUCCAAACUGUUCCAAAGCUUUGCAAAUUCCUGAGGCCAGACUAAUAUAUCUAUAGGUAUCUGGAUGGCUUUUUCCUUACUCUUCAUAAUAUCAUCUACAGAGAUGAAGAGAACUGAUCUCAUGGGAAAUGAGCAAGCCUGCACAGCCAUGUAAAAUGAUAUGUGAAGCGUAUGCAGUGUGCACAAGCUGAUGAUAACAAAAACACUAUACACUCUUCUGCUGCUCUCCAAAGUAAAGCUGCAUUUGCCACUGAUGGCACAGAAUUUAUCUCCCUUCUUGCUGUUGUUUGCACCUCAACACACACAAGUGUAUCAAACAGUAUUGAUACAGAAGCUGGCCCCCCACAGAAUAAGAAGAUCUGACAAGCAUUCAAGUAAUCAUCACUCUCGAUAAAUGGAGAUCAUCAAGGGCAUUUCUCAUUCCUAGAACUACAAGAAGCAUUAAUUCAGCUUUUCAUUUAUUUCAUGGGAUAGGAUGCAGACAACACUCACAAAAAUAGAGCUGAUUUUCCUGACUAGUAAAAUCACACCCUCUUGAAGGUCUGAGCAACAUGUGGUGUCUUUAGACUGAUGUCUUCUCAACCCCUGAGUCAUAGAAACUGAAAGGAGCAGGAAUUUUCAUCUCUCUUCUCUAUCAGUUAUUCCUACAGGUAAAACAAUUAGAGAAAGACUUAUUAAAGCUUAGAAUAUGAAUAAGGAACAGGAUUUAAUUUCUUUUAUACAAAUUAAGCAAUAGCUUAAAUGCCUGAAUCAAUCAAUUUAAUUUAGAGCUAAACUAAUCCUUGAAGUCAUUAUGAUUACACUAAAGAGUGAACGUGGCAUUUGGCUUUUCAUGCCCCCAAAAUAAAACAGAGGGUUUUUUUUUCA
rnacentral:lncRNA from 1 species